rnacentral:rRNA from 1 species
AUUGAACGCUGGCGGCAGGCUUAACACAUGCAAGUCGAGCGGAGAUGAGGUGCUUGCACCUUAUCUUAGCGGCGGACGGGUGAGUAAUGCUUAGGAAUCUGCCUAUUAGUGGGGGACAACAUUCCGAAAGGAAUGCUAAUACCGCAUACGUCCGACGGGCGAAAGCAGGGGAUCUUCGGACCUUGCGCUACUAGAUGAGCCUAAGUCGGAUUAGCUAGUUGGUGGGGUAAAGGCCUACCAAGGCGACGAUCUGUAGCGGGUCUGAGAGGAUGAUCCGCCACACUGGGACUGAGACACGGCCCAGACUCCUACGGGAGGCAGCAGUGGGGAAUAUUGGACAAUGGGGGGAACCCUGAUCCAGCCAUGCCGCGUGUGUGAAGAAGGCCUUAUGGUUGUAAAGCACUUUAAGCGAGGAGGAGGCUACUGAGACUAAUACUCUUGGAUAGUGGACGUUACUCGCAGAAUAAGCACCGGCUAACUCUGUGCCAGCCGCCGCCGUAAAAC